CCUUCACUGAUGAUUCACUCCAUGACUUUCGUUCUCCUGAGCUUGCUGAAGCAACUCUUUUUGUAUCUGAGGAGG
rnacentral:snoRNA from 1 species